AGCGAACGCUGGCGGCAGGCCUAACACAUGCAAGUCGAACGGCCCUUCGGGGUAGUGGCGGACGGGUGAGUAACGCGUGGGAAUGUGCCCUUUGGUACGGAACAACUGAGGGAAACUUCAGCUAAUACCGUAUGUGCCCUUCGGGGGAAAGAUUUAUCGCCAUUGGAGCAGCCCGCGUUGGAUUAGGUAGUUGGUGGGGUAAAGGCCUACCAAGCCUACGAUCCAUAGCUGGUCUGAGAGGAUGAUCAGCCACAUUGGGACUGAGACACGGCCCAAACUCCUACGGGAGGCAGCAGUGGGGAAUCUUGCGCAAUGGGCGAAAGCCUGACGCAGCCAUGCCGCGUGUAUGAUGAAGGUCUUAGGAUUGUAAAAUACUUUCACCGGGGGAAGAUAAUGACGGUACCCGGAGAAGAAGCCCCGGCUAACUUCGUGCCAGCAGCCGCGGU
rnacentral:rRNA from 1 species